rnacentral:SRP_RNA from 13 species
CGGAGGCGGUGGUGGGCUGUGGCGCUGCCCAUGGCGAGCUGCCAGCUGUCAUAUCUGCAUCAAUGCAGGGCGGAGCGCACAGCG